rnacentral:rRNA from 1 species
UGGGGAAUCUUGCACAAUGGGGGAAACCCUGAUGCAGCGACGCCGCGUGAGCGAUGAAGCCCUUCGGGGUGUAAAGCUCUUUCGGCAGGGAAGACUUUGACGGUACCUGCAGAAGCAGCUGCGGCUAACUACGUGCCAGCAGCCGCGGUAAUACGUAGGCAGCAAGCGUUGUUCGGAGUUACUGGGCGUAAAGGGUGCGUAGGCGGUUCUCUAAGUUUGGUGUGAAAUCUCCCGGCUCAACUGGGAGGGUGCGCCGAAAACUGGAAAGCUAGAGUGUGGGAGAGGUGAGUGGAAUUCCUGGUGUAGCGGUGAAAUGCGUAGAUAUCAGGAGGAACACCGGUGGUGUAGACGGCUCACUGGACCAUUACUGACGCUGAGGCACGAAAGCGUGGGUAGCAAACAGG